rnacentral:rRNA from 1 species
CUGAACCAGCCAAGUAGCGUGAAGGAUGACUGCCCUAUGGGUUGUAAACUUCUUUUAUACGGGAAUAAAGUGAGCCACGUGUGGCUUUUUGUAUGUACCGUAUGAAUAAGGAUCGGCUAACUCCGUGCCAGCAGCCGCGGUAAUACGGAGGAUCCGAGCGUUAUCCGGAUUUAUUGGGUUUAAAGGGAGCGUAGGCGGGUUGUUAAGUCAGUUGUGAAAGUNUGCGG